CCUACGGGAGACAGCAGUAGGGAAUAUUGCUCAAUGGGGGAAACCCUGAAGCAGCAACGCCGCGUGGAGGAUGAAGGUUUUCGGAUUGUAAACUCCUUUUGUUAGAGAAGAUAAUGACGGUAUCUAACGAAUAAGCACCGGCUAACUCCGUGCCAGCAGCCGCGGUAAUACGGAGGGUGCAAGCGUUACUCGGAAUCACUGGGCGUAAAGGGCGCGUAGGCGGGAUAGCAAGUCAGAUGUGAAAUCCUAUGGCUUAACCAUAGAACUGCAUUUAAAACUGUUAUUCUAGAGUAUGGGAGAGGUAGGUGGAAUGCAUGGUGUAGGGGUAAAAUCCGUAGAGAUCAAGAGGAAUACUCAUUGCGAAGGCGACCUGCUAGAACAUAACUGACGCUGAUGCGCGAAAGCGUGGGGAGCAAACAGGAUUAGAUACCCGAGUAGUC
rnacentral:rRNA from 1 species